rnacentral:rRNA from 1 species
AGUGAACGCCGGCGGUAGGCCUACCACAUGCAAGUCGACCGGCAGCACAGUAAGAGCUUGCUCUUACCGGUGGCGCCUGGCGGACGGGUGAUGAGUACAUCGCAGUCUCCUUUUUCGCGGGGGAUAACGCAGGGAAACGUCCGCUCCUACCGCAUACGACCUACGGGUGAAAGCAUGGGAUCUUCGGAUCUUGCCCGGUUGAAUGAGCCGAUGUCGGAUUAGCUAGUUGUCGGGGUAAAGGCCCACCACGGCGACGAUCCGUAGCUGGUCUGAGAGGAUGAUCAGCCACACUGGAACUGAGACACGGUGCAGACUCCUACGGGAGGCAGCAGUGGGGAAUAUUGGACAAAGGGCGCAAGCCUGAUCCAGCCCUACCGCGUGGGUGAAGAAGGCCUUCGGGUUGUAAAGCCCUUUUGUUGGGAAAGAAAAGCAGCAGGUUAAUACCCCGCUGUUCUGACGGUACCCAAAGAAUAAGCACCGGCUAACUUCGGG